rnacentral:rRNA from 1 species
GAUGAACGCUAGCGGCAGGCUUAAUACAUGCAAGUCGAGGGACAGCACAGGUAGCAAUACUGGGUGGUAACCGGCAAACGGGUGCGGAACACGUACACAACCUUCCUUUAAGUGGGGGAUAGCCCAGAGAAAUUUGGAUUAAUACCCCGUAAUAUAGUUGAAUGGCAUCAUUUGAUUAUUAUAGCUACGGCGCUUAAUGAUGGGUGUGCGGCUGAUUAGAUAGUUGGCGGGAUAACGGCCCACCAAGUCUACGAUCAGUAGCUGAUGUGAGAGCAUGAUCAGCCACACGGGCACUGAGACACGGGCACGACUCCUACGGGAGGCAGCAGUAAGGAAUAUUGGUCAAUGGACGCAAGUCUGAACCAGCCAUGCCGCGUGAAGGAUUAAGGUCCUCUGGAUUGUAAACUUCUUUUAUUUGGGACGAAAAAGGGCCUUUCUAGGUCAACUGACGGUACCAGAUGAAUAAGCACCGGCUAACUCCGUGCCAGCAGCAGCCGCAGUAA